ensembl:lncRNA
CCCAUAAGCAUUGCACAGAUCCUUUAGGGCUCCCCCAGAUCCUAUAGGGCUCCCCCUGACCCUAUAGGCACCGCCCAACCCCGUAAGCCUCGCCCAGAUCCUAUAGGUACCCACAGAUCCUAUAGGCACCGCCCAACCCCAUAGGCAUUGCCCAGAUCCUAUAGGGCACCUCCAGAUCCUAUAGGGCUCCCCCUGCCCCUAUAGGCACUGCCCAGAUCCUAUAGGUACCCCCAGAUCCUAUAGGCACCGCCCAACCCCAUAAGCAUCGCACAGAUCCUUUAGGGCUCCCCCAGAUCCCAUAGGGCUCCCCCAGAUCCUAAAGGGCUCCCCCAGAUCCUAUAGGGCUCCCCUUGCCCCUAUACACACCUUCCAAACCCCAUAGGCAUUGCCCAGAUCCUAUAGGCACCCCCUGAUCCUAUAGGACUCCGCCUGCCCCUAUAGGCACCACACAGAUCCUAUUGGUACCCCCAGAUCCUAUAGAUACCAACCAACCCCAUAGGGAUUGCCCAGAUCCUAUAGGUACCCCCUGAUCCUAUAGGGCUCCCUGUGCCGCUAUAGGCACUGCCCAGAUCCUAUAGGUACCCGAGAUCCUAUAGGCACCGCCCAACCCCAUAAGCAUCCCACAGAUCCUAUAGGGCACCCCUAGAUCCUAUGGGGCUCCCCCUGCCCCUAUAGGCACGGCCCAACCCCAUAAACAUUGCCCAAAUCCUAUAGGCACCCCCAGAUCCUAUAGGCACCGCCCAACCCCAUAAGCAUCGCACAGAUCCUUUAGGGCUCCCCCAGAUCCCAUAGGGCUCCCCUUGCCCCUAUAGGCACCAUCCAACCCCAUAGGCAUUGCUCAGAUCCUACAGGUACCCCCAGAUCCUAUAGGGCUCCCCCUGUCCCUAUAGGCACCGCCCAACCCCAUAAGCAUCCCACAGAUCCCGUAGGGCUCCCCCAGAUCCUAUAGGGCACCCCCUGCCCCUAUAGGCACCACCCAGAUCCUAUAGGCACCCCCAGAUCCUAUAGGCACCGCCCAACCCCAUAAGCAUCCCACAGAUCCUAUAGGGCACCCUUGAUCCUAUAGGGUUCCCCCUGCCCCUAUAGGCACCAUCCAACCCCAUAGGCAUUGCCCAGAUCCUACAGGUACCCCCAGAUCCUAUAGGGUAUCUCUUGCCCCUAUAGGCACCUCCCCACCCCCCCAUAGAUUUUCUAUAGAUACCCCAUAUCCACCCCAUAUCCCUAUAGAUCCCCUAUAGCCACCCCACACCCCACAUAGAUCCCCUCCGGCCACCCCACACCCCCUUUAGAUACCCUAUAGAUCCCCUAUAACCACCCCACACCCCUUUUGAUACCCUACAGAUCCCCUAUAACUGCCCCAAACCCUUUUAAACACCCCAUAGAUCCCCUAUAACCACCCCACCCCCCUUCAGAUACCCUAUAGAUGCCAUAUAACCACCCCAAUCCCCUUUAAAUACUCUACAGAUCCCCUAUAACCACCCCAAUCCCCUUCAGACACCCCAUAGAUCCCCUAUAACCACCCCAAUCCCCUUCAGACACCCUAUAGAUCCCCUAUAACCACCCCACCCCCCUUCAGACACCCUAUAGAUACCCUAUAACCACCCCAACCCCCUUUAGAUACCCUACAAAUCCCCUAUAACCACCUCAAUCCCUUUCAGACACCCUAUAGCUCCCCUAUAACCACCCCACUCCCCUUCAGAUACCCUAUAGAUCCCCUAUAACCACCCCACACCCCUUCAGACCCCCUAUUACCACCCCAACCCCCUUCAGAUACCCUAUAGAUGCCCUAUAACCACCCCAAUUCCCUUUAGACACCCUAUAGAUCCCCUAUAAACCCCCCUUUAGAUACCCUAUAGACCCCCUACAACCACCCCACCCCCCCUUCAGACACCCUAUAGAUCCCCUAUAACCACCCCACCCCCCUUCAGAUACCCUAUAGAUGCCCUAUAGCCACCCCAACCCCCUUCAGAUACCCUAUAGAUACCCUAAAACCACCCCACCCCCCUUCAGAUCCCCUAUAACCACCCCACCCCCCUUCAGAUACCCUAUAGAUCCCCCUAUAACUGCCCCACCCCCCCUUCCAAUACCCUAUAGAUGCCCUAUAGCCACCCCACCCCCCUUCAGAUACCCUAUUACCACCCCACUCCCUUUUAGACACCGUAUAGAUCCCCUAUAACCCCCCCUUUAGAUACCCUAUAGACCCCCUAUAACCACCCCACCCCCCUUCAGAUCCCCUAUAGUUGCCCUAUAACCACCCCAGUCCCUUUUAGACACCCCAUAGAUCCCCUAUAACCACCCCAAUCCCUUUUAGACACCCUAUAGAUCCCCUAUAACCACACCACCCCCUUCAGAUACCCUAUAGAUGCCCUAUAACGGCCCCAAUCCCUUUUAGACACCCCGUAGAUCCCCUAUAAC